UGUGGGCAGGAAAGAUGGGGAGCCAAGUAAAAGAAGAAAGAUGAAGACUCCACUCAGCACAUUACCAUCAAAGAUGAUAUGAUUUUUAAUGGGAAAUGAAUAUCUAUAUAUAAACAUAUAUGAUGGCAUAAGAAGAAUGAUGGGAUUAGAACUUGGCUAUGGACAAUUGUCAUAUACAAGAAAACAUUAGAGGAGUGAGAAUAAUAUUAUUUUGGCUUGUAAAAGCAGGAUUAUCCAAUCAAUCAAGGAGUCCAGCUGGUGCUAUCAGGGAAUCACUCUUCAGCCAUGAGGGAGUGUCAGUUUUGAUAUUUCUGCCUCAGAGAUGUUUCCUUGGAAGCAGAGGUGACCUCGCUUGAACAUUCUAGAUCUGGGCCUUUGCAUCACGGAGCUCUCAUAGAUAGAGGCAAAGUCACACGACCUUGUGCUCUCAGAGGCAUUUGUCUCUGCAAGACCAAGGUAGCAAGACAAGUCCUGAGUACAGCAAGUCCAGCAGGGACAGAGCCAGAUUUGAUACCAAGGGGAAAAACUAUCAGAGUUUGAAAAUCCACUUUACUACUUGCUUGGAGAAAAGUUCUUGGCUGAAGACUAUGGCAAUCAAGCCAUUUCAUGUGUCCUACCACCCCCGGACCUGCCUCACUUCUUGUCUGGAGUUCUGGAGAUUGUCUUAAUCACCUCUCUAAAUAAACUUUUAAGCAACUUUGGUCCUUA